GGGAAAUCUCUGGCCCACAGUCAAGCUCUUGAAAAACUAGUUGGAUGGGGAUCAAAGCACCCCCUCCAGGCAGCAGUUGUAAAAGUAAAAGCCCAUUCAAAUUCUACGAGAUCAACAUUCACAGGGCAACAAUCAAGUUGAUUUGUUAGCAAAGGAAGCUGCCUUAGAUGGGGAUCCUUGGCACUUACAUGUAAAAGACCCUGAGAUACAACAAACAUGGGAGGAGCACUUCACAUGCAAAGACUCAAU